rnacentral:rRNA from 1 species
GAUGAACGCUGGCGGCGUGCCUAAUACAUGCAAGUCGAGCGAACAGACGAGGAGCUUGCUCCUAUGACGUUAGCGGCGGACGGGUGAGUAACACGUGGAUAACCUACCUAUAAGACUGGGAUAACUUCGGGAAACCGGAGCUAAUACCGGAUAAUAUAUUGAACCGCAUGGUUCAAUAGUGAAAGAUGGUUUUGCUGUCACUAAUAGAUGGAUCCGCGCCGCAUUAGCUAGUUGGUAAGGUAACGGCCUACCAAGGCAACGAUGCGUAGCCGACCUGAGAGGGUGAUCGCCCACACGGGAACGGAGACACGGUCCAGACUCCUACGGGAGGCAGCAGUGGGGAAUCUUCGGCAAUGGGCGAAAGCCUGACGGAGCAACGCCGCGUGAGUGAUGAAGGUCUUCGGAUCGUAAAACUCUGUUAUUAGGGAAGAACAAAUGUGUAAGUAACUAUGCACGUCUUGACGGUACCUAAUCAGAAAGCCACGGCUAACUACGUG